rnacentral:rRNA from 1 species
UGGAUCCAGACUUUGAUUUCUGGCUCAGGACGAACGCUGGCGGCGCGCCUAACACAUGCAAGUCGAACGAGAGAGAGGGAGCUUUCUUCCUCGAUCGAGUGGCGAACGGGUGAGUAACGCGUGAGGAACCUGCCUCAAAGAGGGGGACAACAGUUGGAAACGACUGCUAAUACCGCAUAAGCCCACGACCCGGCAUCGGGAAGAGGGAAAAGGAGCAAUCCGCUUUGAGAUGGCCUCGCGUCCGAUUAGCUAGUUGGUGAGGUAACGGCCCACCAAGGCGACGAUCGGUAGCCGGACUGAGAGGUUGAACGGCCACAUUGGGACUGAGACACGGCCCAGACUCCUACGGGAGGCAGCAGUGGGGAAUAUUGCACAAUGGGGGAAACCCUGAUGCAGCGACGCCGCGUGGAGGAAGAAGGUCUUCGGAUUGUAAACUCCUGUUGUUGAGGAAGAUAAUGACGGUACUCAACAAGGAAGUGACGGCUAACUACGUGCCAGCAGCCGCGGUAAAACGUAGGUCACAAGCGUUGUCCGGAAUUACUGGGUGUAAAGGGAGCGCAGGCGGGAAGACAAGUUGGAAGUGAAAUCCAUGGGCUCAACCCAUGAACUGCUUUCAAAACUGUUUUUCUUGAGUAGUGCAGAGGUAGGCGGAAUUCCCGGUGUAGCGGUGGAAUGCGUAGAUAUCGGGAGGAACACCAGUGGCGAAGGCGGCCUACUGGGCACCAACUGACGCUGAGGCUCGAAAGUGUGGGUAGCAAACAGGAUUAGAUACCCUGGUAGUCCACACCGUAAACGAUGAUUACUAGGUGUUGGGAGAUUGACCCUCUCAGUGCCGCAGUUAGCACAAUAAGUAAUCCACCUGGGGAGUACGACCGCAAGGUUGCAACUCAAAGGAAUUGACGGA